CGGAUUGGUGGCGGGUGGCGCACGGGUGCGUAACGCGUAUAGAACUUACCAUUUACAGGGGGAUAGCCCGGAGAAAUCCGGAUUAAUACCCCGUAGUACUGAUUAGAGGCAUCUUUUUUCAGUUAAAGCUUUGGUGGUAAAGGAUGGCUAUGCGUCCUAUUAGCUAGAUGGUGAGGUAACGGCUCACCAUGGCUACGAUAGGUAGGGGCCCUGAGAGGGGGAUCCCCCACACUGGUACUGAGACACGGACCAG
rnacentral:rRNA from 1 species